rnacentral:rRNA from 1 species
AACGAACGCUGGCGGCAGGCUUAACACAUGCAAGUCGAACGCCCCGCCAGGGGCGUGGCAGACGGGUGAGUAACGCGGGGGAACAUACCCUUUCCUGCGGAAUAGCUCUGGGAGACUGGAGUUAAUACCGCAUAGGCCCUACGGGGGAAAGAUUUAUCGGGGAAGGAUUGGCCCGCGUUGGAUUAGGUAGUUGGUGGGGUAAAGGCCUACCAAGGCGACGAUCCAUAGAUGGUCUGGGAGGAUGAUCAGCCACAUUGGGACUGGGACACGGCCCAAACUCCUACGGGAUGCGGCAGUGGGGAAUAUUGGAAAAUGGGCGCAAGCCUGAUCCAGCCAUGCCGGGUGAGUGAUGAAGGCCUUAGGGUUGUAAAGCUCUUUCACCGAUGAAGAUAAUGACGGUAGUCGGAGAAGAAGCCCCGGCUAACUUCGUGCCAGCCGCCGCAGUAACAC